rnacentral:rRNA from 1 species
AGAGUUUGAUCAUGGCUCAGGAUGAACGCUGGCGGCGUGCCUAACACAUGCAAGUCGAGCGAUUCACUUCGGUGAAGAGCGGCGGACGGGUGAGUAACGCGUGGGUAACCUGCCUCAUACACAUGGAUAACAUACCGAAAGGUAUGCUAAUACAAGAUGAUAUAAGAGAUUCGCAUGGAUUUCUUAUCAAAGCUUUUGCGGUAUGAGAUGGACCCGCGUCUGAUUAGCUAGUUGGUAAGGUAACGGCUUACCAAGGCGACGAUCAGUAGCCGACCUGAGAGGGUGAUCGGCCACAUUGGAACUGAGACACGGUCCAAACUCCUACGGGAGGCAGCAGUGGGGAAUAUUGCACAAUGGGCGAAAGCCUGAUGCAGCAACGCCGCGUGAGCGAUGAAGGCCUUCGGGUCGUAAAGCUCUGUCCUCAAGGAAGAUAAUGACGGUACUUGAGGAGGAAGCCCUGGCUAACUACGUGCCAGCAGCCGCGGUAAUACGUAGGGGGCUAGCGUUAUCCGGAUUUACUGGGCGUAAAGGGUGCGUAGGUGGUUUCUUAAGUCAGGAGUGAAAGGCUACGGCUCAACCGUAGUAAGCUCUUGAAACUGGGAAACUUGAGUGCAGGAGAGGAAAGUGGAAUUCCUAGUGUAGCGGUGAAAUGCGUAGAUAUUAGGAGGAACACCAGUAGCGAAGGCGGCUUUCUGGACUGUAACUGACACUGAGGCACGAAAGCGUGGGGAGCAAACAGGAUUAGAUACCCUGGUAGUCCACGCCGUAAACGAUGAGUACUAGGUGUCGGGGGUUACCCCCCUCGGUGCCGCAGCUCACGCAUUAAGUACUCCGCCUGGGGA